rnacentral:rRNA from 1 species
UCGAAAGAUUGAUCNAGUUACUUAAAAAGAUGAAGAUUAUAAAAAAAUAGAAGAAAAAUAAUAAUGAAGAAUAUAAAAUCAAUAUAUAAUAUAAGAAAUAAUGAUAAUAUAAUAUAUAGAAGUCUUAACAAAGAUUAGUGCCAGCAGUUGCGGCUAAACUAAGGAGGCGAACGUUAAUCAUUAAAGGCUUAAAGGAUCCGUAGAACGAUAUAUAAAAUAUAUAAUAGAAUUAAAUAAAGAGAAUAAAGAAUAAUUAUAAUGAGAGAUGAAAUGUAAUGAAAAUAAUUAGACAGAUAAGAAUGAAAAUAGAAUUUAAUAUUUAAUUGACGUUGAGGGAUGAAGGCAUGAGUAGUGAACCGGAUUAGAUACCCGAGUAAUUCAUGCAGUAAACGAUGAAUACUAAUAAAAUAAGCGAAGGUUUAAGUAUUCCGCCAGGUGAGUAUAUUCACAAGAAUGAAACUCAA